rnacentral:misc_RNA from 1 species
CACGCAGAACAACAAAAUCAAGUACCAGAAAGCCAGACCAGGAAGCAUGACACUGACAAAGUUGAUUACGAUGCUAACAAUGUGCAUGAACCUGCCAAACAGAGCAAAUUCGCAGUACUAGUGGUUUGGGACACUGAACUCAACUUCAUCAUAAAGCACGAGAGCAAGAUAAUUGGCACUCCAUCUCUCGGCACUUAGGAAACAGUUGCCGGAGUGCAAAUUGGCGAAAUUGCCGAUUUCAC